rnacentral:rRNA from 1 species
UGGGUGGGCGAGUGGGCGGACGGGUGAGUAAUGCAUCGGGACCUACCCAGACGUGGGGGAUAACGUAGGGAAACUUACGCUAAUACCGCAUACGUCCUACGGGAGAAAGCAGGGGACCUUCGGGCCUUGCGCGGUUGGACGGACCGAUGUUCGAUUAGCUGGUUGGUGAGGUAACGGCUCACCAAGGCGACGAUCGAUAGCUGGUCUGAGAGGAUGAUCAGCCACACUGGAACUGAGACACGGUCCAGACUCCUACGGGAGGCAGCAGUGGGGAAUAUUGGACAAUGGGCGCAAGCCUGAUCCAGCAAUGCCGCGUGUGUGAAGAAGGCCUUCGGGUUGUAAAGCACUUUUAUCAGGAGCGAAAUACUACCGGCCAAUACCCGGUGGGGCUGACGGUACCUGAGGAAUAAGCACCGGCUAACUUCGUGCCAGCAGCCGCGGUAAUACGAAGGGUGCAAGCGUUAAUCGGAAUUACUGGGCGUAAAGCGUGCGUAGGCGGUUUCUUAAGUCUGCUGUGAAAUCCCCGGGCUCAACCUGGGAAUGGCAGUGGAUACUGGGAAGCUAGAGUGUGUCAGAGGAUGGGUGGAAUUCCCGGUGUAGCGGUGAAAUGCGUAGAGAUCGGGAGGAACAUCAGUGGCGAA